UACGUAGGUGGCAAGCGUUGUCCGGAUUUACUGGGUGUAAAGGGCGUGUAGGCGGGACUGCAAGUCUGAUGUGUAAUCUGGUGGCUCAACCACCAAACUGCAUUGGAAACUGUAGUUCUUGAGUAUCGGAGAGGCAGGCGGAAUUCCUAGUGUAGCGGUGAAAUGCGUAGAUAUUAGGAAGAACACCAGUGGCGAAGGCGGCCUGCUGGACGACAACUGACGCUGAGGCGCGAAAGCGUGGGGAGCAAACAGG
rnacentral:rRNA from 3 species